GGGGAUGACAGGAUUCGCUAGUCGGAUCUAGUUGUCUGUACAGGCAUACCGAGCUCUAACUCGUAAAACUGGAAAAUUAUACGUGCAAACGUUACUAGUCGAGUGAAAAAUGCUUUGGCUCGCGCCUUCGCAAUGCCUUCAUUCGCAUCCGUAGUCGCUUAAUAGCUUCUACCAUCGUCCCUGUGAUACUCAAUAACAGUCAGACGGUGUCAACUUAUUGAGUGUAAAUUAUUAGUCUUCCUCAACUAAUAAUUGAAACUACUGAGGAUAGUUAUUUAUCUUUUUUCCGACUUUCUAGAUAAAUAAUAAAAUAUUAAAUCGGAUAUGUAUGUAGAAUGUAUUGCCAACCCGUACUAAACCCGGGUUCAAUUCCCGGCAUCUCCACAA
rnacentral:tmRNA from 1 species